rnacentral:lncRNA from 1 species
GUUAUGGAAUAUAAGCAGAGCAAAUCUUGUACAUAUACGGUAUUAGUCCAUAUACGUUUAUUUGAUUAACAUAGCAUAACACCCCGUACAAAUUAAGAUCAGGAUUUCACUUUUCACUACUACAAAACAUACAUGAUAUAGCAAACCAGCAUUUUAUUUUAGUAGAACGAUAGCAUUUGUGCAUGCUUAGCAACGUCCGCCAUGGCCGCCAUGCGAGCCACCACCAUGGUGACCAGGACCGCCUGCUGGAGGACCAUGGUGACCCGGACCACCUGCUGGAGGUCCAUGCUGACCCGGACCACCUGCUGGAGGUCCAUGGCCCCCCUCCGGGCCACAACCAUGACCAGGACCGCCUGCUGGAGGUCCAUGUUGGCCCGGACCACCUGGAGGAGGUCCAUGCUGACCGGGACCACCUGCUGGAGGUCCAUGGUGUCCACCGUGGUCGCCGCCCGGGCCACCUACUGGAUGUCCAUCAUGGCCUGGUGGAGGUCCUUGGGGACAGGGAGGAGGCGGAGCCUGAUGCUGAUGAAUCCCUGGUGGUGGAGGUCCGUGAGGAUGAUCGUGCAUCUUAUCUGCUGUUGUAGUUGGUAUCGUUCUCUGCUUUGCUUCUUGCUGGUGCGGUGAAACGGUUUGAGAGGACUAUUGGAUUUAUAGUAGUGCGGUCCUUGUUUUCAUUAUUUUUUGGCCAGAAUGGUCCCAGACUUGCAGAUAAGGUUAUUACCAUGAGAACUUUGGUCGGAGGUUGUUUAAUGCAUACCUUACACGUUGUUGACGUGACCAUUUGUUGGGAUAUUUCCAUUGGUAUGUGGUUGUUAUUCUCCAUUGACAUGAUGAGGCCAACAACCUUAUCUUUC